rnacentral:sRNA from 1 species
AUGGACCCAAGUCCAUUCCGGUUCCUGCGCUCCGUCCGCCUUGCCUGAGGGCUGCUCGCUACGGUUUCUUCACA